AUACGUAGGGGGCGAGCGUUGUCCGGAAUGAUUGGGCGUAAAGGGCGCGUAGGCGGCGCGGUAAGUCUGGAGUGAAAGUCCUGCUUUCAAGGUGGGAAUUGCUUUGGAUACUGCCGCGCUUGAGUGCAGGAGAGGUUAUCGGAAUUCCCGGUGUAGCGGUGAAAUGCGUAGAGAUCGGGAGGAACACCAGUGGCGAAGGCGGGUAACUGGACUGCAACUGACGCUGAGGCGCGAAAGUGUGGGGAGCAAACAGGAUUAGAUACCCUGGUAGUCCACACUGUAAACGAUGAAUGCUAGGUGUAAGAGGUAUCGACCCCUUUUGUGCUGGAGUCAACACAAUAAGCAUUCCGCCUGGGGAGUACGGCCGCAAGGUUGAAACUCAAAGGAAUUGACGGGG
rnacentral:rRNA from 1 species